rnacentral:rRNA from 1 species
GAUUAACGCUGGCGGCGUGCAUAACACAUGCAAGUCGAACGAUGAAACUUAAAUGAUUUCUUCGGAAUGAACUUAAGUGGAUUAGUGGCGGACGGGUGAGUAACGCGUGAGUAACCUGCCUUACACAAGGGGAUAGCCGUUGGAAACGACGAAUAAUACCCUAUGAUGUUUCUAUCUCGCAUGAGAUAUUAACCAAAGUGUUAGCGGUGUAAGAUGGACUUGCGUCUGAUUAGCUAGUUGGUGAGAAAAAAGCCCACCAAGGCAACGAUCAGUAGCCGGCUUGAGAGAGUGUACGGCAACAUUGGGACGGAGACACGGCCCAGACUCCUCCGGGAGGCAGCAGUGGGGAAUUUUGCACAAUGGGGGAAACCCUGAUGCAGCGACGCCGCGUGAUUGAGAAGGCCUUAGGGUUGUAAAAAUCUUUUGUAUAGGAAGAAAAUGACAGUACUAUACGAAUAAGGUCCGGCUAAUUACGUG